CCUUAUUUAAUUGGUAGGAGAGCGUUCUUAUCAGCGAUGAAGGUAUACCGUGAGGAGUGCUGGAGCGAUAAGAAGUGAGAAUGCCGGUAUGAGUAGCGCAAGACAGGUGAGAAUCCUGUCCACCGUAAGACUAAGGUUUCCAGGGGAAGGCUCGUCCGCCCUGGGUUAGUCGGGACCUAAGGAGAGGCCGAAUGGCGUAUCCGAUGGACAACAGGUUGAUAUUCCUGUACUAGGUUAUAUAGUGAUUGGAGGGACGCAGUAGGCUAAGGUAAGCCAGUUAAUGGAUUCUGGUCUAAGCAGUGAGGUUUGGUAUGAGUCAAAUGCUUGUACCUCUAAGAUUGAGCUGUGAUGGGGAAGCACUUUCGAGUGCGAAGUACCUGAUGUCACACUGCCAAGAAAAUCUUCUAGCGUUUAAUUAUAACCUACCCGUACCGCAAACCGACACAGGUAGUCGAGGCGAGUAGCCUCAGGUGAGCGAGAGAACUCUCGUUAAGGAACUCGGCAAAAUGACCCCGUAACUUCGGGAGAAGGGGUGCUCUACAUUUGUAGAGCCGCAGUGAAUAGGCCCAAGCGACUGUUUAUCAAAAACACAGCUCUCUGCUAAAUCGUAAGAUGAUGUAUAGGGGGUGACGCCUGCCCGGUGCUGGAAGGUUAAGAGGAGUGCUUAGCGUAAGCGAAGGUAUGAAUUGAAGCCCCAGUAAACGGCGGCCGUAACGAUAACGGUCCUAAGGUAGCGAAAUUCCUUGUCGGGUAAGUUCCGACCCGCACGAAAGGCGUAACGAUUUGGGCACUGUCUCAACGAGAGACUCGGUGAAAUUUUAGUACCUGUGAAGAUGCAGGUUACCCGCGACAGGACGGAAAGACCCCAUGGAGCUUUACUGCAAGUUGAUAUUGAGUAUCUGUUGCACAUGUACAGGAUAGGUAGGAGCCGAUGAACUGAGGACGCUAGUUUUCAGUGAGGCGAUGUUGGGAUACUACCCUUGUGUCAUGGCUACUCUAACCCGCAUGCCUAAUCGGCAUGGGAGACAGUGUCUGCUGGGCAGUUUGACUGGGGCGGUCGCCUCCUAAAGAGUAACGGAGGCGCUCAAAGUUUCCCUCAGCAUGGUUGGAAAUCAUGCGUAGAGUGUAAAGGUAUAAGGGAGAUUGACUGCGAGACUUACAAGUCGAGCAGGUACGAAAGUAGGACUUAGUGAUCCGGUGGUACCGCAUGGAAGGGCCAUCGCUCAACGGAUAAAAGCUACCCUGGGGAUAACAGGCUUAUCUCCCCCAAGAGUUCACAUCGACGGGGAGGUUUGGCACCUCGAUGUCGGCUCGUCGCAUCCUGGGGCUGUAGUCGGUCCCAAGGGUUGGGCUGUUCGCCCAUUAAAGCGGCACGCGAGCUGGGUUCAGAACGUCGUGAGACAGUUCGGUCCCUAUCCGUCGCGGGCGUAGGAAAUUUGAGAGGAUCUGCCCUUAGUACGAGAGGACCGGGGUGGACUUACCGCUGGUGUACCAGUUGUCUUGCCAAAGGCAUCGCUGGGUAGCUAUGUAGGGAACGGAUAAACGCUGAAAGCAUCUAAGUGUGAAACCAACCUCAAGAUGAGAUUUCCCAUUCUUUAUGAAUUAAGAGCCCUGAGAGAUGAUCAGGUAGAUAGGCUAGAAGUGGAAGGACAGUGAUGUUUGGAGCGGACUAGUACUAAUAGCUCGAGGACUUUAUC
rnacentral:rRNA from 1 species